UCCCUGGUGGCUCAGAUGGUAAAGCGUCUGCCUAUAAUGCAGGAGACCUGGGUUCAAUCCCUGGGUUGGGAA
rnacentral:tRNA from 1 species